rnacentral:rRNA from 1 species
GGGGAAUAUUGGGCAAUGGACGAAAGUCUGACCCAGCCAUGCCGCGUGCAGGAUGACGGCCUUAUGGGUUGUAAACUGCUUUUGUACAGGAAGAACUACCUCGACGUGUCGAGGUUUGACGGUACUGUACGAA